rfam:Oryza meridionalis cultivar OR44 (W2112) chromosome 9, whole genome shotgun sequence.
UAUAAACACAGUUAUAUAUUUCAGUGAUCAACGUUUAACCGUCCGUCUUAUUUUAAGUAUAUUUUAUUAGUCUUUUUAUUGUUAUUAGAUGAUAAAAUAUGAAUAGUACUUUAUGCAUAACUUAAUUCUAAUUUUUUUUACAAAUUUAUUUAAAAUAACACGGAUGGUCAAAUAUUGGAUACAGAAACUUCAAUGGAGUACUACUU